AUAAUGCUUCUACAUAUUAUAUAUUGGAGGUUGGAGUCUAAUUGAAAUUUAAAUUCUUUCUAGUGUGGACGAGAAGUAUACUUGCAAACGUCUCAUAUUCCAAAGUACGAUGUGGGUGAAGGGCUACUUAUUAGUUUAGAUCCUGACAUACAAAUAGACGGAGAACGAUUGGGUGAAGGCUAUUGUAAAGUAUAUGUUGGUAAAGCAAUAAUGCCCCAUGUUCUUUUGGAAAGACCUCGUCCAGGUGUAGACACGGUUGGAGAUGCUCUUGGCCGUUACGUUGCGUGGAAUUUCUGUGAUGUGAUCGAGAAAGAGAUGGACGAUUAUUGAGUGUGUUUUUUACAAUUUGUAGUCUUUCUCUUAGAGACUUUUUUUUAAUUUUUCAUUCACUCCAGGUGUUUUAGUAUUUUUGUCUAUGUGGUUAAAAGAGAUGGAUGAUAUUGGAUUGUGUUGCUAUUCGGAAUUUGAGAAUUAUGGUUUUGUUCAACUUGGUUUUGAAUAUGGAUGAAUGGAUGAUUUCGAUACAAGAUGAUGAA